GGCUCAGAACGAACGCUGGCGGCGCGCCUAAUACAUGCAAGUCGAGCGAGAAGGUGUAGCAAUACACUUGUAAAGCGGCGAACGGGUGAGGAAUGCAUGGGUAACCUACCCUCGAGUGGGGAAUAACUAGCCGAAAGGUUAGCUAAUACCGCAUACGUUUCCGGAACUUCGGUUUCGGAAAGAAAGCAAUACCGUGGGUAUUGCGCUCAUGGAUGGGCUCAUGUCCUAUCAGCUUGUUGGUGAGGUAACGGCUCACCAAGGCUUCGACGGGUAGCUGGUCUGAGAGGACGAUCAGCCACACUGGCACUGCGACACGGGCCAGACUCCUACGGGAGGCAGCAGUAAGGAAUAUUGCGCAAUGGGCGAAAGCCUGACGCAGCGACGCCGCGUGGGGGAUGAAGGUCUUCGGAUUGUAAACCCCUUUCGGGAGGGAAGAUGGAGCGAGCAAUCGUUCGGACGGUACCUCCAGAAGCAGCCACGGCCAACUUCGUGCCAGCAGCCGCGGUAAUACGAAGGUGGCAAGCGUUGUUCGGAUUCACUGGGCGUACAGGGUGUGUAGGCGGUUUGGUAAGCCUUCUGUUAAAGCUUCGGGCCCAACCCGGAAAGCGCAGAGGGUACUGCCAGGCUAGAGGGUGGGAGAGGAGCGCGGAAUUCCCGGUGUAGCGGUGAAAUGCGUAGAGA
rnacentral:rRNA from 1 species